rnacentral:lncRNA from 1 species
CCUUGAACUAUUUUGAUUGUUAUUGACAAUGAAACCACUUGUCAAAACAAUAAUUUUAUUUCAACAGAAAUCAUAAUUUACUGGCGGAAAAGUACUCCUAUUUAUCCAGUACAUCGUAGUAAUAUAUUAUAUGUGCGUGCAGAAACAACACAUGAUCAGCAUCACUGACUUGUGAUCUACACUAGGUAUUUUUCUCAAAUGGUUUUUUCUCAUCAUUCAAUCGUUUCUUUCCUUUUUCCUUUCGUUCCUAUAAAUUUUGUUGAAUAUGACGAAUUAGGGCGUAAUUUUGAAGAUAUGGUGCAUCUAUAAAAACAUGAUGGUUUCCUUAAAAUAGUAAAAUGCAAUCGAAACAUUGUUUACUGCGGACGUAACAAACAUAGAAAGUCCAUAAUUUCUCGUGACUUUUUACACCUGACGAAUAAUGUUCUUUUUUCUUAGUCCUGUGUUUAAUUACUCCAAAGUCGCCCAAAUUGGGAGGAGAUCCCUUUUCCUGUAAUAUUUGUACAUCAACAAUGGUAGUAUUGGGGUGUGAUUGUAAAAAUUUACUCUAUUCUAUUUGCCUGUAGUCUGUGAUUUAUAUAAUUUUAAUAACAUGUUUUAAAAUUGAAAUAUCGACGUAAAUGUUACAGUUUAUCACUAUAGAAAUGUAGUAAAUUUUCCACAGUUGAAUCUACAUUUAAGUAUUCCACCCCAUGUCUUAUACUGUUUCUCUAUUAUUUCAGAAAUAUCUGAUGACAUUUG